rnacentral:tRNA from 1 species
GCCCUUGUAGUACAGACCAAUACACCAGUCUUGUAAACCGGAAAC